rnacentral:rRNA from 1 species
GAGGCAGCAGUGAGGAAUAUUGGUCAAUGGACGAGAGUCUGAACCAGCCAAGUAGCGUGAAGGAUGACUGCCUAUGGGUUGUAAACUUCUUUUAUACGGGAAUAAGUGAGGCACGUGUGCCUUUUUGUAUGUACCGUAUGAAUAAGGAUCGGCUAACUCCGUGCCAGCAGCCGCGGUAAUACGGAGGAUCCGAGCGUUAUCCGGAUUUAUUGGGUUUAAAGGGAGCGUAGGCGGACGCUUAAGUCAGUUGUGAAAGUUUGCGGCUCAACCGUAAAAUUGCAGUUGAUACUGGGUGUCUUGAGUA